AAUCGAACCCGGAGAUAGCUGGUUCUCCUCGAAAUAGCUUUAGGGCUAGCCUCGAUACAGAUUUGCGGAGGUAGAGCACUGAAUUUCCUAGGGGGCGUCAAAGCCUACCGAAGAAUAUCAAACUCCGAAUGCCGCGUAAUCGAUUAUCGGGAGUCAGACUGCACGAGAUAAGUUGGGCGGUCAAAAGGGAAAGAGCCCAGACCUUCAGUUAAGGUCCCCAAGUGCGCGUUAAGUGGAAAAGGAUGUGGGAUUUCGAAGACAACCAGGAUGUUGGCUCAGAAGCAGCCAUCCAUUCAAAGAGUGCGUAAUAGCUCACUGGUCGAGAGGUCCUGCGCCGAAAAUGUCCGGGGCUGAAACGCGCCACCGAAACUAAGGAACCGAAAGGUUGGUAGAGGAGCAUUGCAUGCGGGAAGAAGCAGUACCGUAAGGAGCUGUGGACUGCAUGGAAGAGAGAAUGCCGGAAUGAGUAGCGAGAAUAAGGUGGGAAUCCUUAUGGCCGAAUAUCCAAGGUUUCCAGAGUAAAGCUGAUCUGCUCUGGGUAAGUCGGGGCCUAAGGCGAGGACGAGAGUCGUAGCCGAUGGACAACAGGUGGAGAUUCCUGUACUGCGGUAUGACAGAACUGUGGGGACACGUAAGGAAAGCGGAAGCCGGGAAUGGAAAGCCCGGUGCAAGCGGGGUACCAGUCACUUUGGCAAAUCCGGGUGGCAAUGGGAAGCCGUGAUGCGGAGCGAAAUAAAGUAGCGAAGUCCGUGAGCCAUGCGUCAAGAAAAGCCGCUAUCGUUUAUACCGUACCCGUACCGUAAACCGACACAGGUGGAUGAGGAGAGAAUCCUAAGGCCGGCGGAAGAAGCAUUGUCAAGGAACUCGGCAAAAUGGCCCCGUAACUUAGGGAUAAGGGGUGCCUGGGAAACCAGGCCGCAGAGAAUAGGCUCAAGCAACUGUUUAGCAAAAACACAGGUCUAUGCGAAACCGAAAGGUGAGGUAUAUGGGCUGACGCCUGCCCGGUGCUGGAAGGUUAAGAGGAGAGGUUAGCGGUAACGCGAAGCUUUGAAUUUAAGCCCCAGUAAACGGCGGCCGUAACUAUAACGGUCCUAAGGUAGCGAAAUUCCUUGUCGGGUAAGUUCCGACCCGCACGAAAGGCGUAAUGAUUUGAGCGCUGUCUCGACAAUGCAUCCGGUGAAAUUGAAGUACCAGUGAAGAUGCUGGUUACCUGCGCCAGGACGGAAAGACCCCAUGGAGCUUUACUCCAGUCUGGUACUGGGACUCGGUAUUGCAUGUACAGGAUAGGUGGGAGGCUAGGAGAUGGUAACGCCAGUUGCCAUGGAGCCGCUGUUGGGAUACCACCCUUGCAGUAUUGGGUUUCUAACCAGCCGCCGUGACCCGGCGGUGGGACAAUGCCAGACGGGGAGUUUGACUGGGGCGGUCGCCUCCGAAAGGGUAUCGGAGGCGCCCAAAGGUUCCCUCAGAAUGGACGGAAACCAUUCGAAGAGUGCAAAGGCAGAAGGGAGCUUGACUGCGACACCGACGGGUGGAGCAGGUACGAAAGUAGGGCUUAGUGAUCCGGUGGUAUUAAGUGGGAAUGCCAUCGCUCAACGGAUAAAAGCUACCCUGGGGAUAACAGGCUUAUCACUCCCAAGAGUUCACAUCGACGGAGUGGUUUGGCACCUCGAUGUCGGCUCAUCGCAUCCUGGGGCUGUAGUAGGUCCCAAGGGUUGGGCUGUUCGCCCAUUAAAGCGGUACGCGAGCUGGGUUCAGAACGUCGUGAGACAGUUCGGUCCCUAUCCGGCGUGGGCGUAGGAUAUCUGAGAGGAGCUGUCCUUAGUACGAGAGGACCGGGAUGGACGGGCCGCUGGUGCAUCGGUUAGACUGCCAAGUCUACGGCCGAGUAGCCAAGCCCGGAAGGGAUAAACGCUGAAGGCAUCUAAGCGUGAAGCCCCCCUUAAGAUGAGAUAUCCCAUUCGAAAGAAGUAAACCCCCUUGA
rnacentral:rRNA from 1 species